rnacentral:lncRNA from 1 species
CCCACAUCUGCCCAUGACGCAUUUGCUAUAAGGGAGCAAAGGCCAGCAAAGGUGUCUCCACUCUGUCACUGCAAUGUACCUUGAAUGAGGUACAGAACAAACAAGCAAAACCUGAAUGCUUGAAACCCCUAUUAUUUUUCAGUUGCUCAGUCUCCUGAGAGAGAUCACCUCCCUUCAAACGAAGGCUUCCUAGUGCUCUGAGGAUAUAAAAAUAGACAUAGAAAGAAUACAUUCUUUUGAAUAAGCAGAGCAGCUGUCAACUUCUAAAAA